rnacentral:rRNA from 1 species
GAUGAACGCUGGCGGCGUGCUUAACACAUGCAAGUCGAGCGGAAAGGCUCUGCUUGAAGGGUACCCGAGUCGCGAAUGGGUGAGUCACACGCGGGUGAUCUGCCCUGCACUUCGGGAUAAGCCUGGGAAACUGGGACUCAUCCCGGUUAGGAGCCAUUCCUAGUGGGAUGGUUGGAACGUUUUUUCGGUGUAGGAUGACCUUGCGGCCUUUCAGCUUGUUGGUGGGGUAAUGGCCUACCAAGGCGGCGACGGGUAGCCGGCCUCGGAGGGUGGACGGCCACAGUGGGGCGACUAGACCGCCCAGACGCCGUCGGGAGGCAGCGGUGGGGGACACUACACAAUGGGCGCAAGCCAGAUGCAACGACGCCGCGUGUAGGAAGACGGCCUUCCGGUUGUAAGCUCCUUUCGCCAGAGACGAAGCUUUUUGUGACGGUACCUAGAUAAUAAGCACCGGCUAACUACGUG